rnacentral:lncRNA from 1 species
ACCCGUCCACUCACCACCACCACCAGUCCAGUCCCCACCCCCACCAGUACAAUCUCCACCUCCACGAACUCCAUCUCCUCGUCCUGUUGUGUCUACACCGCCACCUACAAAAGAUAUUGUCCUCCCACCAAACAUAGGAUUCGAAUACCAAUCGCCACCUCCACCAAUGUUUCCAAGCUACUAAACAGUACUACAGCCUUAACAUCUUUGUAUUGUAUAUUCUCGCUCUCGGGCAUAAAAAGGAAAAAAAAAAAGAGCUAUAAAUUACAAUUAUGUCGUUACCUUUUCUUGCGUUUGCAAUUACUAUUCAAAUUGUAACAUCAUUGCGAAAGCUCUUAUAUUUAUAUAUGAAUCUUAAUUACUAGUAACUUUCAUCUUUUCCCUCUUCCUCUUUUGUUAAUAUUGGAAAAAUAAAUAUUUGUGAUAUAUAAUUUAUAUGUCACUUCAGCAUGUUGUGUUGGUUUCGGGUUGCAUCAAUUUCAAUCGGAUCAAUUUGAUUUUUGAUCAUUUAUGUUUAUUUUAGCUGGGUGUUUUAGGUUUUUCAUUCAAGAGUAACACUUAAUUUCGAGUUUUUUAUUCAUGUUUUUUUAAGUUUGAUUUUUUUGAUAUUUAUGUUGGAAUUGUGUAGGUUUGAUUAUUUACUUUUUGAAAAAAGUUUUGGUUUUCUCCUUAUUCUAAUUUGAUAUCGCAACUGAUGUUCCAACAUAAAUUAGAACAAGAUAGAUUAAUAAAAGUUUUCAAAGAGAAAUGAUGCACAAGACUUGUUAACAUAGUUCAUAUAACAUUCUUACUUUGUAAAGCCUCGUUAAGGGUGUACAAAAUUCGAUGGAAAAAGCCACCCAAAUCAACUCAAUUCGAUUUUUUUGUUCGAUUUAAUUGAAUUCAAAUAUCUAAAUAUAAUAUUUUAUAUUUUUAAUUCAAACCCUUAAACUUUUUUACUUUUCCUAAAAAUUUUUACUCCCUCCAACUUUCCCCCAAAACUUUUACUUCUCUCCUAUCCCACCCCCAAACCCAUUCCUCCACCCCCCCAAAUAUUUUUUUGAAUAUUCCCCCCUCAAAAUUUUACUCUCCAAACUCUAAAACUUUUUAUUUUCCCCUAAAACUGUUACUUUUCAUCAUAUACCCUCAAAUCAAAAAUCAAAAUCAUCCAAUUUCACAUAUUUUCCAUGAAAUUGUCUAAUAUUCAAGAAAUCUUCAUUAUGAUCUCCAUGAGUUGCAAUUACAUGUUUCACGUCAACAAAAGCAAAUCCAAAUAUAACACUAAAGGCAUUCAAAUUAUAUAUAAUCAUGUGAUAUUAUAAUAGAACAGUCAACAAUAUUAAUUAUUUGGUCUAACUAAUAAUAUUAUAAAAUUCUAAAGAUCUAAUUAUAUUAAAAAUUAAAUAUAGCGACUAAAUCUGAAGCUUAAGGAAAAAACCAUAUACCCAAAUUUCCUUGCUUUUAUAUAAUAAAGGUAUUCAUCUUAACUAGUGCCAUCAAUGUUGGUGUAAUUAAUCUUCCAAAAAUGGUAUAAUUAAUCACAUAUUACUAGAAUUUAACAAUUAUGAUGAAGAUGAAAUGAAUGAAACAUUUAUUAUGACAGAUUUUGGGUUGAACACGUGGCUGAGGGAAUCCAAAACAUCGCUGGAAAUGGUAAGUUUCCAUUUAAUAAAAUUGUUUUCCAGUUUUUUAUAUUAAAAGCUCAAAUUCGGUUUUUGUCCCUCUACUAUAUUAGAAUUAAAAAUUCAGUCUGUUUUAUUUUAAUUUAGCAUAAUUUAGCCCUCUUACUUCAUUAUUAAUUAAUCUAAAAUGUCAACACCAUUAACUAUUUUAAUCAAAAUACUUAUAUGAAUUUUUUUAAAAAAAUCAGUGUUAAGCAUUUAGUUAAUACUUAAUUUUUUAUUAAAUUUUUUUGAUUAAUUUUUUUUAGAAAAAGCACAAUUAAAAAAAGAAUAAUUAACAAUGCUAAAAAAAUUGAUAUAAAAAUAGAAUGACCAAAUCAUAGUGAAUUGGAGUAUAAAAACUAAAUCAUGAAUUUUAGAUAUAGUAGAAGGACCAACAUAUAAUUUGACCUAUUAUAGAAUAAAGAUAGAAAAUUCAAGUUAAAAUUGGUUAAAUAGUAUCUAUACAUAAGCCUUACAUUUCGCUUCGCCUCUAAAGUUACAGAACCUCUAAUUAUAUGUGAAACCAGCAAACUUCUCGAGAACUAAAGCAAGAACCCAACAUCCCAUUCGUCCCCGAUAUAAGCUUCUUUCCAUCUCCAUCAACAUUGCCUAACCAGCCUCGGGCCUUCCAAGGUGAACAAACAAAAUGGCAAGUCGUCAAAGUUUUCAGGCCUUCGGCUGCUUUCAUUUGUUCUUUUGGAUUUUCUUUCGUUCAUUCACACCCACUUUCACAGCCGAAGCGUCUUCAAUCGCUGAUCGUCAGCUGUUGUCACUCCCCAAAAAUGGUAAACUCCCCGACGGGUAUGAAUAUACGGUGAAAACGACAGAGAAAUUCGAGAAUGAAAGGCUUAGGAGGGCUUUCAUUGCUCUUCAAGCAUGGAAGAAGGCUAUGUACUCUGACCCCAAGAACAUCACGAGCAACUGGUUCGGGCCCAACGUGUGUGAUUACAAAGGUGUUUAUUGUGUCCAAGCAAUGGAUGACCCCAAAUUAAAAGUUGUGGCUGGUAUUGAUCUUAACCAUGCUGACAUCGCCGGUUACCUUCCGGUGGAGUUGGGGUUGCUGACGGAUGUUGCAUUGAUCCAUUUAAACUCCAACAGGUUUUGUGGGAUCGUCCCUGAGAGCUUAUCUGAGCUUACACUUAUGCAUGAAUUUGAUGUUAGCAACAAUUGGUUCGUGGGGGAUUUCCCCAAAGUUGUACUGUCAUGGCCGAGCGUCAAGUAUAUUGAUCUCCGAUUCAAUAAUUUUGAAGGUUGUUUACCACCUGAGCUCUUCGAAAAGGAUCUAGAUGCAUUGUUUUUGAACGAUAAUCGCUUCACUUGCAACAUCCCUGAAACAAUUGGCAAAUCGACCGUCUCCGUUGUGACAUUCGCCAAUAACAAGUUCGAAGGAUGUAUACCACGUAGCAUUGGCAAGAUGUCGAACUUGGACGAGAUCAUUUUCUCAAACAAUAACCUCGGUGGUUGUUUCCCUCAAGAAAUUGGAUUGCUUCGCAAUGUUACUAUUUUCGAUGUUAGCAAGAACUCGUUCAUGGGUAGCUUGCCGGCAAACUUUUCGGGCUUUGAGAAGGUUGACAUUUUGGAUAUUUCCGGGAACAAGUUGACGGGGAGUGUGCCGGAGGAUAUUUGCAAGUUGCCGAGCUUGUCUAGUUUCAAGUUUUCUUACAACUAUUUCAGUGAGGAGCAUAUGGCUUGUAUAAAGCCUGAAAGGAAGAACAUUGUGGUGGAUGAUAGUGGUAAUUGUGUGGCUGGUCGGAUGAAGCAGAAGACAGAUACAGAGUGCAAGCAGGUGGUGAGUAACCCGGUUGAUUGUAGCAAGGACAAAUGUACUGGAGGGUCUCCACCUAAGCAAAACACACCUACGCCACAUCGUGUAUCUCCAACGGCUCCUACCAAGCCACCAACAGCACCAACACCAGUACCUGAUAAAAUUGAACUAUCUCCAAAGUUUCCUAUUCGCCCACCAAAACCACCUUCAGCACCGGUUCCACCUCCACCAGUCCCUUCCCUACCACCACCCGUCCAAUCCCCACCACCACCUGUGCCCUCCCCACCCCCACCCGUCCACUCACCACCACCACCACCGGUUCCUUCACCCCCACCACCAGUAAAAUCCCCACCUCCACCGGUGCCCUCACCACCACCACCAUCGGUUCCUUCACCCCCACCACCAGUAAAAUCCCCACCUCCACCGGUGACCUCACCACCACCACCAUCGGUUCCUUCACCCCCACCACCAGUAAAAUCCCCACCUCCACCGGUGCCCUCACCACCACCACCUGUGCCAUCUCCACCCCCACCCGUCCGCUCCCCACCCCCACCUGUGCCCUCUCCACCCCCACCCGUCCUCUCCCCACCCCCACCAGUGCACUCACCACCACCACCCGUCCUUUCACCACCACCACCCGUCCUCUCCCCACCCCCACCAGUGCGCUCACCACCACCACCACCACCCGUCUACUCACCGCCUCCACCCGUCAAGUCUCCACCACCACCAGUAAAAUCCUUACCUCCACCAACUCUAUCUCCUCCUCCUGUUUUGUCUAAACCACCACCUACAAAAGAUAUUGUCCUCCCACCAAACUUAGGAUUCCAAUACCAAUCGCCACCUCCACCAAUGUUUCCAGGCUAUUAAAUAGUAUUAUAGCUUUGACAUCUUUAUUUUGUAUGUUCUCCAUCUCGGGUAUAAAAAAAUAACAAAGAGAAGUUCAUAAAUAACAAUUGAGGUAGUUACCUUUUCUUUUUCUUAGUUUCCUCUUGUACAUGAUUGCCAAAGUUCUUAUCUUUAUCUAUGAAUCUCAAUUACUAGUAGCUCCUCUUCUGUUAAUAUCAGGAAAAUAAAUAUUCGAAUAAUG